ACAAGAUGCUACAACCCGACUGGGGGAUGGCUCGGCUCGAGAGCCGAAGAAGGUCGUGACAAGCUGCGAUAAGUCGCGGGGAGAGGCAUGAAUCUCAUGGAUCCGCGAAUUGCUGAAUUGGACCUCCUGGCACUCAGUGCCAUUCCUCGUAUNUNNNGNAGGAANGGGAACCCCCCGAACUGAAGCAUCUCAGUAGGGGGAGGAAUAGAAAUCAAAAGAGAUUCCGUUAGUAGUGGCGAAUGAAAACGGAAUAGGACAAACCGAAUCCCCUUGGGAAACCUUGGGGAGAUGUGGGGUUAGGAUCGUCUGUAGCCCGAUUCUAGGAAGUGGAAGUCGUCCUGGGACGGCGCACCAUAGAGGGUGAAAGUCCCGUACACGUACUAGAUAGGGCCAAGUGACGAAUCCAGAGUAGCGUGCGUUGGAUAUCGCGCGUGAAUAUGGGAGGCAGUUACUUCCAAUCCUAAAUACUACUCGAGACCGAUAGUUGACAAGUAGCGUGAGCGAAAGCUGAAAAGUAUCCUUAGCGGGAUGUGAAAAGACCCUGAAACCAGUCGGGAACAAGCUGAAUAGGCGUGAAAGCGAAGAUAUGAGCAGCGUCUAUUCGUGCGUUUCGAAAAAUGCCCCUGGGAGUUCUAAUCAUUGGCGAGGUUAAGCAGUUGAUCUGCGAAGCCGAAGGGAAACCGAAAGGUCCGCAGCCGCGUAAGCGGUCAGGGACUGGGUGCGCUCGCCCGGAGUCAAUGGUGGGAGACCUGAAGCCUAUCGAUCUAUGCCUGGCCAGAUUGAAGCCCGAGGAAACUUGGGUGGAGGAUCGAACCGUUGCUGAUGUGCAAAUCGCUCGGACGAGUUGGGUAUAGGGGUGAAAGUCCAAUCGAGAUGGGCAAUAGCAGGUUCCGCGCGAGACUACUCGUAGGUAGAUCUCCGUUGAGAUAGAUUGUGAUGUAGAGCACUGAUUGGGUAUUUAGGGGGAGCGAUCCCUCGGUACGCUGUCAAACUCCAAAGUUGCAAUCGUCGUAGACGCGGGGAGUGAGCCACGGUGGGUAAGCUACCGUGACGAAAGGUGAAUAAACCAGCUCAGCGUUAAGGUCCCAAAGUUCCAGUUAAGUGUUAAUGACAAACCGUGUCCGUGGUCGAAGACAACCAGAAGGUGGGCUUAGAGGCAGCCAUCCUUGAAAGAGUUCGUAACAGAUCACUGGUCAAGCUUGCGGGCCGGGAAAAUGGACGGGACUCAAACUGGACACCGAUACGCUGAACCUCCGAAAGNAGAUGUGGUAGCGCGGCGAUGUGCUCGGGCAGAAGCGAGGUUGUGAAAUCUCGUGGACCGUGUACAUAUGAGAAUCUAGGGAAGAGUAGCAGCAUAGAGUGGUGAGAAUCCGCUCCACCGAAGGGGCCAGGGUUCCUCGGCAAUGAUCAUCAGCCGAGGGUUAGCCGGUCCUAAGGACAUCCUUAACCGAGAUGUUCGAAAGGGAAAUGCGUUAAUAUUCGUAUGCCCCUCUGCAAUAAUGGUAACGGCUUGGGCUAGUUCUACCGUUCCUGUCGGGACGGCGAAGCGUAAUAAUCGAUCGGAGAACCGUCAUGGUGAGAAAAUCGAGAAGACGUGAGCAAAAGAUGAAUGAGGCCUAGGUCCCAUGAAAAACCGCAGAGGUGACCGUACCGAGAACUGACACAGGUGCCCCUGGGUGAGUAGCCUAAGGUGUGACGGGCAAAGUACCGCGAAGGAACUCGGCAAAAUCGCUCUGUAACUUCGGGAGAAGGAGUGCCAGCUUAGAGAUAAGCUGGUCGCAGUAACAAGGGGACUCCGACUGUUUAAUAAAAACAUAGCCGACUGCUAGAUCGAAAGGUUGUGUAUAGUCGGUGAAUCCUGCUCAGUGCCGGUAUCUGAAAUCGGGUUUCAACCUGAUGAAGGACCGGUAAACAGCGGGGGUAACUAUGACCCUCUUAAGGUAGCGUAAUACCUUGUCGCUUAAUUGGCGACUUGCAUGAAUGGCACAACGAGAGUC
rnacentral:rRNA from 1 species